UAGAGAGAGAGAGAGUGGCCAUCCACGUAGCUAUAGGUUUUGUUAUGCUGUGAUUUCUCUCUCUCUCUCCCUCGCUCGCCCGCUCACUCCGAACCCCCUUCUACCCCCACCUCCUCUUCUCUCUCACUCAUUCUCCAUCUCUCGCUCACACACACACGCGCCAAACACUCUCUCUCUCCUCCUCUGCCUCUCUCUCUCCGUCUGUCUCUCCCUCCCUCAGCUUCACUCGCUCUUGUGCUGUAAGUUCAUUUGCUGUGUCAAGCAACAACUGGCUCGGGAGUGGGCAGUGGGUUUUGAUCCUUUUGUCAAGCAUCCCCCCUGCGAGUGUGUACCGCGUCCACCUGCGCACCACGGGACUGGCCGCCUGGCUCUCUCUAACAUCGCCGCACCGUCCUGGGUUUAUCACGAUCAGGCAUCCCACCUUGCUGAGAUGGGCGGCACGAUGAGAUGCUGAAGGUUUGACGGGGCGAACCCGCUACUGUGGACUAUCAUCAUCACCAUCAUCGGAAUCAUCGCAGUGGCAAUGGGAGUCAGGACAUGGAUGCUAGCCGGAGGAUCUCCGCAGGGUCCUUGCAUCCCAGAAUUGUUCAUGCCGUUGAUUUCAAACCGUUAUUUGGCUAUCCUUGGAUCCUCAAACAGCCCAGCAAGAGCUUGUGCCUCUGUCCUAAAGACUUUAAGGCUUCCAGCUGUCAUUACUUUCUCUAAAACCAACCAAUGGACCAUUGAGAGCCAAGCCAGCACUAACCGGUAUUUUUGGACAGUGGAAGCUCUGAGUUGCCACCGAACGAGGGUAAACCUUUCCAAAAACACAGAGGAUAUUCUUAUUUUGUAUUGAGUCCUAAAUCUAUUGUUUGAUCUAAUUAUUCUGCCUCUAAGGCCCUAUUAUCCAGGCACUACUGAUGAAACCGAAGCGAAAAAAGGAGGCAGAGUGUGUCUCCUGGUUGUUUGAGACAUGCUAGGACAUCCAUAGCACAGAAAGAGAGAGAGAGAGAUAAAGAGCAAGAUAUAGAAAGAGAGUGAAUAAAAGAGUACUGAGUGAUUCAGUCACGUACAGCCCAGGCAUUAUCUAGCCAACAAUAAAAGAUUACAUCAUAUCAGCUGGCAUAAUUUCUUCAAGGUCUUUUAUUGAUUCUUUGAAUGGUGAGUGCAGCUGUUGAAAGUGUACAAAAGAAAGCCAUUGUAUUUACAGGAUCACAUCAGGAUUUUAUAGGCACACAGAAAUGAUUUGACGAUUCAGCUUUCAUUCGGAGGAUGAUCACAACUUUCAUGUGGCUUUGUAACAGGUACACAACACUCUAAUUAUGUUUAAUUCCUCUUUGCAUGCAAGAUGAGCCAGCACUCCUAAACUGAGAGCAAAAAUUUGACAAACUAGUGAGAAAAUACAUCACAGAUGAUUACACUCUCAUCUGUUGCUGUUACAAAUUCAAAGUAAAACAAGUAUUUUAAUUUAAUUUUAAAUUUAAACUAUCUGUGAAAUAAAUAUUGCAUUUGUCCCAAAUGGCACCCAUGUAGCUACAUUUUGGGUAGCAUAAUGAGAAAUAUACUAUUGGGUAGUAGUCCGCUGUGAAGUCUAGUGUGAAAUCAAGGGUGCAGUGGCGCAAAGAGGGUGCUGUUGAGCAUUCUUUUUAUAUAGUAAAAUGGCAAAAUUAGCAAAAUUUCGGCAAAAUUUAGCAGGCAACCAAGCAGCCAAAGAAACGAUGCAACAUAUUUGCAUGACUAACCAAUUCCUACAGAUAUUACUGGAAGCAAUGGUUAAAGUGACCAUGCCUGAAAGGGAUACUCCACCUCCAAAUGAAAAUGUUGUCAUUAAUCACUUACCCCCAUGUCAUUCCAAACCCUUAAAAGCUUUGUUCAUCUUCGAAACACAAUUUAAGAUAUCUAAUUGGAGUAGGGUGGAGUAAUUGUGUUGUGGCACAAAGUCCAGAAGUCCACAUGCAUAGUUUGGGAUGGACCAUAGUAUUGUUGUUGCCCUUAAAACUUCUGUGAGUAUCAGUGUGUUUGUGUUUGUUCCAACUGUCAAGGUACAGUCCUAUUGGUGAAAUUUUGUAGGCAAAAAGGGUCCACUGUCUGUUGUGAAUAGUAAUAGUAAUAGUAGCAAUAGUAUAGCAGCCAGCAAGCAAUAUGGCAAAUUCGUAUGACCAACUUGAACACGAGCGAAUUAUACAGGGCUAAUUUUCUCACCCUCAUGUGAAACUCAAUUACUGAAUUUUAUCUGUGAAAUUUUGCAGAGCAAUGGUACAUGUGUCCACAUCUUUAAAGUGUUUUAAAGAAAAGAUCACAAGUGCACAUGCACUAUUUAGGAAAGUCCCAUGUAUUGCUAUUGUCCUUAAAAUGUGAGUGAGUGUCCGUGCAUUCACGUCAACUGUAAUGGUGCGGCAUGAUAGGCUUAAUCUGUUGUGAAAUCGGCAUUGGGAAAUUCCCAAUUGCAGGAAUUCCAAUUAAAGUGACUGGUUUUUGUGUGCAAAAUUUCACAGAGCGAUGGUAAAUGUGACUGGACCUUAAGAAUCAAAACUCACUACUCAUUUUUGGAUGUGGUUAAGUGCAUAAUUUCUGCUCCACUAGUUGCAUCAAAAAGAACUGCAAUUACUUUUAGUGACACUAGUGAAAAAAGUUUAAAAUUAAUUGUUGUAAAUUGAAAUUGCACUGUGUAACAGGUUAAACCCAUCAAAGUCACUGACGAGUAAGAACAAGGUGGGCAGAGCUACUGAGGAGUGUAUUGAUACAUUCGGGGGUUUCUGAGUGACUUAGGACGAGGGGUCUCACACUCUGGACUGCACAAAUUAAGGAUGAAUAAAGAACACAGAGGGGGACGCUGCCUGGUGGGACAGGAAGUAGAGACGCAGAGGGGAGCAACUUCACCUGCUGAUCACCUUCAGUCUGACCAGUGGAACUGGCCUCUGAUUGGACAUGUCUGAUAGCCCAUCCAAUUGAUGGGAAUGGGAGAGAGAGAAAGGAAGAGGAACCUGAUGACAGUUCCCUGCAGAGAUGAAACUCCUCAGAAGCGCUCAGAGAGAAGAUGACACUUCAUACCACAUCAUUUGAUAGGAUUCAGAGAGGGUUAUGGAUCCUGUCCAACA
ensembl:lncRNA